rnacentral:lncRNA from 1 species
AUUCUGUUCAGGAUAAUGUAAAUUGUUCAGAAAAUUGUUUUCUUAGUACCUGUUGGAAUGUUACAUAAUUUUUUUUAGCCAUCAUUGCCAGAAUUCCUAUAUUCAUCCCAGUGCCGGUGAAGACAAAGAUAAAACCAAACUACAGCUUCUUCGAUAGCUAUCACAGUAAACUGUAUAAACUGAUGCAUCAAUGAAUAAUAACUCAACAAGUAAUGCUCAAUCAAGGAGUCAAUUUACUUUGGGAGGAAAUGGACAUAUUGAUAGAUUCCUCUGCUUUGAACUGCUUGCAGAACUUGCCUGGAGUAUGUAUCACUUGUAUACAUUGUGAACUAUCUGUUGGUGCAGCAAAUAGUGGUAGUGCUGGAGUAUCUUUGCUGAUGGUGUCACCGGUGGUACAAUUUUUCCAAAGGAGCCAUCAAUUGGCUUGGUGUCGUGGCAUUUCUGUAUCCUCCUCCCUUCUGCUAGUGAUGGUCUAAAAUUUGGGGGCCAACAGAGGUGAGGCAAAGAACCUCACCC